rnacentral:lncRNA from 1 species
UGAUACACAAACAAGGAAUCUCUGGAGAAGAAAUAUAUCUCAUAGUAAAUAAGUGCAUAAUCCACCAUGAAGGGGGUCAUUUGACAUAUUUAUAUAGUUACACUGUUUUUUAACCAAUUUAUGCAUUUUAUAUUUUACUUAUUUUCAGAGGGUGUAUUAUUUUUGUUAUUCUUACCAGUUAAGUUAUUCCUUUUUAUUAUGCUAUAUAAAAUAUUUAAUGGUAUAUAAGGCUUUCUUCUUUAUAAAUUUUAGUUGCAUAAUAUACACAAUUUUAAUACAAUGCUAAUUUUUAAAGAAAAAUUGAAAUGUAAUAGAUAAUACUAAAUAAUAAAGAUGAAAGCCAUACAAAAUGGGAUAAAGCAUAGAAUAAAUUUCGUAUUUGUCUCAGCGUAUUUUCCAUUCCACUUCUACAGAGGGAGACACUUAAUCUGUUUCUUAAGAUCCAUGAUAUAAGAAUCUGUCUGAAUGUAAUUGUGUUUAAAUAUACGUAUUUUAUUCUGUAAAAAAAAAUAUCCUGUGAUAAUCUAUGUGGGAAAAGAAUGUGAAAGGGAAUGGAUGUAUGUACAUGUAUAACUGAAUCUCUUUGUUGUACAGCAGAAAUUAUCACAACCUUGUAAAUCAACUAUACUUCAAUAAAUUUUUUUAAAAAAAUGAAAAAAGAAAAAGAACUAGCCUGGUGCUGGAGACAGUGACACCUUGGCUGGUCCCUCUGAGCCAAAUUUCUGUGACAUCGGAAGGCUCAGGGAGACAAAAAGGCCAAUCAAGCAUCCAGACGUGCCCCAGACACAGGGGAACUGUCCCUGCUCAGCAGCCACAGGCAGGCUUCUGGGAACAGUGUGGUGCAGUGGCUGAGGUCCCAAGGUGGUCAGGCAAAACCCUGCAGGGCUGAGAUCCUCUUGGGAGCCUAAGGAAGAGGUCCUCCCAGAACUGGCUGCUCCUGGUAUGCUCCUGGUGUGCCCUGACACCAGAUGAAACAGUCGCUUGUGGCUGAUGGUGUAACUGAGCAGGACCUUGUGAGGUCUUCCCAGAGUGGACCCCUACUCAUGUCUUCUGCCUGCCUUCUUGUCUAUAGAAAAAAACUUUCGUCAAACAAUCGAUUCAUUCGGAGAGGUGAGAAAAUACAGAGAAAGGAAAACCAUCAAGCAAGACGAAUAAUGAUAGUUUAGCCAUUCGACAAAGUCAAGGACCUUUAGUUAGUUCUUCUUCAAAGACUAUAGGUAAUAUUCUUUGCCAUGUCCUUGGAGCUGUUUUGCAGGUACUGACGCCCCACUGGGUGGAAGAAGUCAACCGUGUGCUGCCCACAUGCACGUAGACCCCAGACUGGUUGGAAUCAGGAGGCUGAUGACGCUGACUCCCAAUUAUCUCGCCACCAACCCAAUCAGGAAAGUGUCCAUGAACUGACCACGCCCUGUUCCUCAAACAUGGUAAGACUCCUCACUGCCCCCUCCAAGGGGGGCACAGUCCUUGAGGUACUAGUGGGCUGUGUUCCCUUCUUUACCUGGCAAUGAAAGCUACUUUUUCUGUUUCCUCAAAAAAAAAAAAAAAAGAAAAAGAAAAAAAA